GACAGGUAUGGUGGUGCACACCUGUAAUCCCAGCUACUUGGGAGUCUGAGGCAGGAGGAUCGUAGGUUUGAGAUCAGCCUGGGCACUUAGUGAGACCCUGUCUUGA
rnacentral:sRNA from 1 species